rnacentral:rRNA from 1 species
ACACGUGGCUAACCUGCCCUUUGGACGGAAACACCCCCGGGAAACUGGGGCUAAUUUCCGAUAAGUGAGGAUUCCUGGAAUGGAACUUCGCCCAAAAGACGCUCAGAGCAUGCUUCUAGGUGUUGCCCAAGGAUGGGGCCGCGGCCGAUCAGGUUGUUGGUGAGGUAACGGCUCACCAAGCCUUUAACCGGUACGGGCCGUGGGAGCGGGAGCCCGGAGAUGGGCACUGAGACAAGGGCCCAGGCCCUACGGGGCGCAGCAGUCGCGAAAACUCCGCAAUACGCGAAAGCGUGACGGGGCCAUCCCGAGUGCUGUCCGCUGAGGACGGCUUUUCCCCAGUGUAGAUAGCUGGGGGAAUAAGGUGAGGGCAAGUCUGGUGUCAGCCGCCGCGGUAAUACCCAGCUCUCCGAGUGGUGGGGAUGUAUAUUGGGCCUACAGCAUCCGUAGCUGGCUGGGCAAGUCCUCCGUUAAACCCAGCGAUUUAAUCGUUGGCCUGCGGGGGAUACUGUCCGGCUUGGAGGCGAGAGAGGCCGACGGUAUUCUCGGGGUAGGGGUGAAAUCCUAUAAUCCCGGGAAGACCACCAGUGGCGAAGGCUGUCGGCUAGAACGCGCUCGACGGUGAGGGAUGAAAGCUGGGGGAGCGAACCGGAUUAGAUACCCGGGUAGUCCCAGCCGUAAACGAUGCAGGCUAGGUGUUAGUGCGGCUACGUGCCGCUCUAGUGCCGCAGGGAAACUGUUUAGCCUGCCGCCUGGGGAGUACGGCUGCAAGGCUGAAACUUAAAGGAAUUGGCGGGGGAGCACCACAAGGGGUGAAGCUUGCGGUUUAAUUGGAGUCAACGCCGGAAAUCUCACCGGGGGCGACAGCAGGGUGAAAGCCAGAUUAAAGGUCUUGCCAGACGAGCUGAGAGGAGGUGCAUGGCCGUCGCCAGUUCGUGCCGUGAGGUGUCCUGUUAAGUCAGGCAACGAUCGAGACCCGCAUCCCCCGUUGCUAUUGGUCUUGAACCAAGCACACUGGGGAGACUGCCGCCGACAAGGCGGAGGAAGGAGCGGGCCACGGCAGGUCAGUAUGCCCCGAAUCUCCCGGGCCACACGCGAGCUGCAAUGGCAGGUACAAUGGGAUCCGACCUCGAAAGGGGAAGGAAAUCUCUAAAGCCUGCCGUAGUUGGGAUCGAGGGUUGAAACUCACCCUCGUGAACAUGGAAUC